rnacentral:rRNA from 1 species
UACGGAGGGUGCGAAGCGUUGCUCGGAAUUAUUGGGCGUAAAGGGCAGGUAGGUGGUCUCGUUUGUCUAGGGUGAAAGCCUUGAGGCUUAACUCAAGAAGUGCCCUAGAAACGGCGAGACUAGAGUUCUGGAGAGGGUCGUGGAAUUCCCGGUGUAGCGGUGAAAUGCGUAGAGAUCGGGAGGAACACCAGUGGCGAAGGCGGCAUCCUGGACCAACACUGACACUGAGGAGCGAAAGCCAGGGGAGCAAACGGG